AGGUGAGGUAGAGGUAGACCGAAGAAAUAUUGGAGGGAGGUGCUUAGAUAUGACAUGGAGUAAUUACAACUUAUCGAGGACAUGACUCUAGAUAGGAAGAUAUGGAGGAUCUGUAUUAGGGUAGAAGGUUAAUAGGAUAGGGGCUAGUAGUGGUAGGUUUUUUUUUUCCGGAUAGUUCUUGUUUUUGGAGUUUUCGGGUAGAUUGUUGGUGGUAUUAUUUGGCGAUAAUCUUGUUUCUGCUUGUUUUGUUACUGUUUGUUGUUUUGUUACUACCUUUUGUUUCUUGUUCUUCCAUUAUAUCUUUUCCUACAUUGUUUGGUCUCGACCCGGGGGUCUAUCGGAAACAACUUCUUACCUCACCUCGAGCUAGUGGUAUGAACUGUGUACAUUCUACCCUCCUUAGACCCCACUAUGUGGGAAUAGUGGGAAUAUACUGGGUAUGUUGUUGUAAGUGAAUUUGCAACAUUAUUUUCUGAAGAUAUACAUCAGUAAGCUGAUAAACUGUUCACUCCUCCGUCAUAACUCCAAAAAGGAACAUUUUUAUUAUUUGCUAGACUUCAACCUCAUAAGUUAUAAUUUAUCUCUAAUACCAUGUGGUAUCAAUCUUCUUUUAACUGAAUUUCAAUCAAGUUAAGCAACAUUGAGGAAUUUGACUACGUUUGCAGCAUGCCACAGCACCUAUAUCAUUUAAGGACUAUACAUGAUUUUACUUGCAGGGAAGGGGUCCAGUUCAUGUUUGACUGUGUCUCAGUUGCACUUAGUACCUUCAACAUUAAUGGGUGCAUUUUAGCUGAUGAUAUGUGUUUGGGGAAGACUCUGCAAUCAAUCACACUGCUUUACACUCUUCUUCGCCAGGGAUAUGAUGGAAAACCAAUGGUUAGGAAGGCAAUAAUUAUGACCUACCAGUCUCGUCAGUAAUUGGGAGGCCGAAAUUAGUAAGUGGGUUGGAGAAAGAGUUAAAUUUGUUGCUUUAUGUGAAAGCACCAGAGAUGAUGUUGUGUUGGGCAUAGAUAGUUUUAUCAAUCCCCGUAGUGUAAUAUACAGGUAUUAAUUGUUUCCUAUGAGACAUUUCGAAUGCAUUCGUCAAAAGUCAGUUAUUCUGGAUCAUGCGACCUUUAUGAUCAAACACUGACUAAUCGAGUAAGACAUCAAACACUGACUAAUCGAGCGUUGGCUGCUCUAGCAUGCAAGCGCAGGGUUCUGCUAUCAGGGACACCAAUGCAAAAUGAUCUAGAAGAGUUUUAUGCCAUGGUUAAUUUCACCAAUCCUGGUAUCUUGGGUGAUGCUGCACACUUUCGGCGUUAUUUUGAG